AGAACCAUGUCCCUCUCCCCUCCUCACUGUACACUGGGGCUCCACCUGUCACUGAACCUCUGGGAGCCUCAGGGCUGUCCACAGCCUGCCCCUCCUCCCCACGUCAUUCUCCCCCCGCCCCCCGCACAAAGCCCAAGGCUUUUGGCUGAGGUGGGUUGUGGGAGCUCUGGGACACCCACCCCCUCUCCCGCCUCUUCUCCCCCCUCCCCAGCCCAAGCUGACGCCUCAGGAGAAGCUGAAACUGAGGAUGCAGAAGGCGCUGAACAGGCAGUUCAAGGCGGAUAAGAAGGCAGCACAAGAAAAGAUGAUCCAGCAGGAGCAUGAGCGGCAGGUGAAGUGGGAAAGGGAGGGCUGGGGUGGUGGGUGGGUGCUGGCCUGGCCAUGUCCUCAUAGCCCUGUCUGCUGCAGGAGCGGGAAGACGAGCUUCGAGCCAUGGCCCGCAAGAUCCGCAUGAAGGAGCGGGAACGCCGAGAGAAGGAGAGAGAAGAGUGGGAACGCCAGUACAGCCGGCAGAGCCGCUCACCCUCCCCCCGAUACAGUCGAGAAUACAGCUCUUCUCGAAGGCGCUCAAGGUCCCGAUCCCGAAGCCCCCAUUACCGACAUUAGGCAGAAGAGUGGGGGGUGGGGAGGACAAGGGGGUGGGUAAGGGGCUCAAGCUGUGAUGCUGCUGGUUUUAUCUCUAGUGAAAUAAAGUCAAAAGUUA
rnacentral:sRNA from 1 species